AUGUCUGGUUUCAGAGCGAAGAAACUUUAAAGAAUGCCCCCACCAGCCAACUUCUCCCCAGAAAGAAAUGACACCCCCUGCCUGCUUGAACCACUCAGCGACUGGGGGACUGGAGCUGCCAUGAUUGGCUCAGAGCAAUCAAGACCGCAUCGGGUCCAUCCUACAGCGUGGUGAAGAUUUACUAAUUACUAGCAUGUGGCCAGUCUGGAGCGCAUGAAGCGACGAUUCUUCUCACUAACUUAGUGGUGUGGCUGCCGCAUAAGAAGGGGAAAACUCCAAAGAAAACUCCCAUCCAGCAAUUUACCCUGAAGCAGGACCAAGAGCAUGUGGGCCUGAGCAGAAAAAGAACCCCUCUCCUAGAAGUCUGCAAUCUUGACCAGAU